rnacentral:rRNA from 1 species
AUUGAACGCUGGCGGCAGGCCUAACACAUGCGAGUCGAGCGGAUGAAGGGAGCUUGCUCCUGGAUUCAGCGGCGGACGGGUGAGUAAUGCCUAGGAAUCUGCCUGGUAGUGGGGGAUAACGUCCGGAAACGGGCGCUAAUACCGCAUACGUCCUGAGGGAGAAAGUGGGGGAUCUUCGGACCUCACGCUAUCAGAUGAGCCUAGGUCGGAUUAGCUAGUUGGUGGGGUAAAGGCCUACCAAGGCGACGAUCCGUAACUGGUCUGAGAGGAUGAUCAGUCACACUGGAACUGAGACACGGUCCAGACUCCUACGGGAGGCAGCAGUGGGGAAUAUUGGACAAUGGGCGAAAGCCUGAUCCAGCCAUGCCGCGUGUGUGAAGAAGGUCUUCGGAUUGUAAAGCACUUUAAGUUGGGAGGAAGGGCAGUAAGUUAAUACCUUGCUGUUUUGACGUUACCAACAGAAUAAGCACCGGCUAACUUCGUA